CAUCCUACAUGCAGUCGAAUUAAAAAGGUGAAGAGAGAACAAAGAAGAAAUGACAACUUAUUAGAGAAGCUUUAAUGCAGAAACUGGAGCAAUACUGCAGUUUUCUGCUCAGCUGACACGUCGCUGUUCUGUCCGUGAGAGGUGCAGCAGUGCAAAUUCAAGUUGGCUUUGCAUGACCUCAGGUUUCCUGAAGAUGAUCAAUUGCCGAGGACUG